ACAGUCAUCUCUAGUAUAAGCAAUCUAUACUGUGAAACUGCGAAUGGCUCAUUAAAUCAGUUAUCGUUUAUUUGAUAGUACCUUACUACAUGGAUACCUGUGGUAAUUCUAGAGCUAAUACAUGCUAAAAACCCCGACUUCGGGAGGGGUGUAUUUAUUAGAUAAAAAACCAAUGCCCCUCGGGGCUCCUUGGUGAUUCAUAAUAACUUAACGAAUCGCAUGGCCUUGCGCCGGCGAUGGUUCAUUCAAAUUUCUGCCCUAUCAACUUUCGAUGGUAGGAUAGUGGCCUACCAUGGUGGCAACGGGUAACGGGGAAUUAGGGUUCGAUUCCGGAGAGGGAGCCUGAGAAACGGCUACCACAUCCAAGGAAGGCAGCAGGCGCGCAAAUUACCCAAUCCCGACACGGGGAGGUAGUGACAAUAAAUACUGAUACGGGGCUCUUUUGGGUCUCGUAAUUGGAAUGAGAACAAUCUAAACCCCUUAACGAGGAACAAUUGGAGGGCAAGUCUGGUGCCAGCAGCCGCGGUAAUUCCAGCUCCAAUAGCGUAUAUUAAAGUUGUUGCAGUUAAAAAGCUCGUAGUUGAACCUUGGGUCUGGCUGGCCGGUCCGCCUCACCGCGAGUACUGGUCCGGCUGGACCUUUCCUUCUGGGGAAGCCCAUGGCCUUCACUGGCUGUGGGGGGAACCAGGACUUUUACUGUGAAAAAAUUAGAGUGUUCAAAGCAGGCCUUUGCUCGGAUACAUUAGCAUGGAAUAAUAGAAUAGGACGUGCGGUUCUAUUUUUGUUGGUUUCUAGGACCGCCGUAAUGAUUAAUACGGAUAGUCGGGGGGCGUCAGUUAUUCAGCUGUCAGAGGUGAAAUUGAGGAUUUUGGCUGGAGAACUUAACUACUUGACGGAAAAAGGCGAUUUCCGCGCCCCGCGAAG
rnacentral:rRNA from 1 species